AGUGAACGCUGGCGGUAGGCCUAACACAUGCAAGUCGAACGGCAGCACAGUAAGAGCUUGCUCUUACGGGUGGCGAGUGGCGGACAGGUGAGGAAUACAUCGGAAUCUACUUUUUCGUGGGGGAUAACGUAGGGAAACUUACGCUAAUACCGCAUACGACCUACGGGUGAAAGCAGGGGAUCUUCGGACCUUGCGCGAUUGAAUGAGCCGAUGUCGGAUUAGCUAGUUGGCGGGGUAAAGGCCCACCAAGGCGACGAUCCGUAGCUGGUCUGAGAGGAUGAUCAGCCACACUGGAACUGAGACACGGUUCAGACUCCUACGGGAGGCAGCAGUGGGGAAUAUUGGACAAUGGGCGCAAGCCUGAUCCAGCCAUACCGCGUGGGUGAAGAAGGCCUUCGGGUUGUAAAGCCCUUUUGUUGGGAAAGAAAAGCAGCAGGUUAAUACCCCGCUGUUCUGACGGUACCCAAAGAAUAAGCACCGGCUAACUUCGUG
rnacentral:rRNA from 1 species